rnacentral:lncRNA from 1 species
AGCAAAUAUCAGAAUCACCUGGCGGUCUUGAUGAAACACAAGCUGCUGAGCUUUACUCCAGAAUUUCUGGUUCAGUAGGUCUGCAGUAGGACCUGAAAUUUUAUAUUUCUAACAAGUUUUCAGGAGCUGCUGAUGCCGCUAGUACAGGGCUCACAUUUUGAGAACCUCUGGUCUAGCAAGUUGCCACCAAGAAUGAAGAUUGGGCCAGAGAACAGGAGGAAAUUUGUUUUGCAACAGAAAACAUAAGAAAUUUUCCCUGCUUGGAAGAUACUCAUACAUACCAGAAACAAGUCAACAUUUUGAUUUCAAACAUCAAAAAAGGUGUCCAGAAAUCUCAAGAAUUUGAGACAUCCUAAGGAACUUUAAGUGCUGUGAGCCACAAGUAACAUCAAGAAAAGACAGGGAUGAAGAACCGCACUUACAAGCUAAGUAAGAUUAAACCCAGCAUGGAGAUAUAUGAAUUAAUAUGAACUCUGAGAAAGAAAUUGGUCAGCUAAAAAAUAUAUGGCUUUCCUGAAUAGACAAAAGAACAAAGAUUUUCCCUUUGGUGUAAGCUCAUCCUACACAUGUCAUUUGGACCAGACCAAGGCUGCUGUCAUGGAGGACCCACACCACAGCUUGGGAACCAUUCAUCUACCAGAGGGUCACAUGACUUCAAAUGACUCUUCUAGGGGCCACCUGCCAUGAUAGGGUACCAGCUCUUCCUCUGAAUUCCCAAUCCAUUUCUUGAGAACUACUGUUUCUAAUAAGAGGGGAAGAAGGUCAUGUGGGAAUCAGUUAAAUCACGUGUGGAUAGAAGACAAGUUCCAGCUUUGUGGGAAAUCCUGUAGCCUUCGCCAGGUACACCCUGACAAUCUCAGAACUGAUCAGAGUUUUUGUUCCAUGUGAGAUACCCACGCCACUUUAAAAAACAAACUAUCCUGACAUCUAAUUACUUUGUGAAUGAUUGUAAUGGCAAUAACAAUAGAGAUGGAAGAAUUUUGGAAACAAUACUAGUUUCACAGCUUUCAUGUGAGAUGCCAAGGUUUUAGCAUCGUCAGAUUGGCAAUGAGAUUGGAUAACUUCUGGGGUCUUUUUGAAAUUAUAUCUUUCUUUUCUCUAGGAUCCUACUUCUGGAAAAUAAGAUUAAUACUAAUACUAAUAAGACACAAAGAUUUUUAAUGGAAAUAGGAAUAUCUUCAAAGGCUGGAUGGACAUUGCAUGCACUGUAUGACAACAUUCGUGUAUAAUAAGAUCCUUUCCUUAGAGAAUGGGGCAAAUCCAGAUGGAAUGUGAGAAAGACUUCAAGGUUUCAGUGGAAUAUGCUUAUAUUGGGAAUUGUAUUAGUUAAGACUAGGUUUGGCUGCACAUGACAGAAAACCCAACAUAGUCACUUACACAGGAUUAAAACAUUUCCUUGUCAUAUGAAAGUCUAGAAGUGGUAUGUAGCUCUGGGUGUCAGGGAUGAAGAUUCCUUCUAACUGGGAACCCAGCUUCCCAUUUCAAAGAUUGCUUCAUAUUCAAAAUGGCUGCUGGGUCUCCAGGUAUAGAGUCCACCUUCCAGCUAGAAGAACAAAGAACCAAAAUGAGGCGUGUUCUCCCCUGUAAGGAUACUUUCGUAAGUUGAAUAGGAUGCUUUCAUAAGCAUCUCAUUGGCCAGACUGGUUAGAACUUAGUAACUGGCCACAAUCAGCUGGAAAGAAGGCUGGCAAAUAGAAUAUUUAAGGUGGUCACUGUAAUCAGCAAAAAAAUCAUGAGUUACAUAAUAUAUAGAAAAGGAGAACAAGCACAGAAUGACAACUAGCAGUGUCUGCAUAUCAUUCUUCCAAGCAAAUAAAUGGAAAUAAAAAAAAAAUCUUUACUCCAAGAUUCACUUGGCCUUGGUGGAAUGAAGAAUCAGCAUUAACAUACCUAGUCAAUACACAGGGGUUGGCAUUCUUUUGAUGGAAUGUUGAGUCAAGCUGCAUAGGUAGGGUCAGUAGACACACCUGCAUCUUCAAACAACUAAAAAUCUCAGACACCUGCUGAUCACAGGGAUGUGCAGAGAAAGGCACAGAUUGACCUGAUAAGUUAACCAAAAUCGCUGGACCUCUGUUUUUGUGGAUGCAUAAAUGAUAUCUUUAAAGAAAUCAGAUCUUUAACAACCAACGUAAUAAAAUCUGA